GCGAAGAAACGCGCCGGGUAUCGGGCACCGCGCACCGUGCGGCCCCCCCGCAGUAAGCGGGCUGCAGGGGCGCAGGGCUCUGUGCAGGACGACCCUUGGCAGCACGGGCCAGGCGCUGUCUGCUGUGCUGCAUUCGGGGUGGAGAUGGCACAAACGACUGCACGCCGCAUGGCUCUGCUGGGUACCCAGCUGGCCUUCCCGGGCCGGCUGUGCUGAGGACAAAUGGGCAGGGCCAGAGAAGUGUCUGUGGCAGCCGUGGUGAAUGUUUCAUGUUACGGCCCUUUAGGAUUUUUACUGGGAGUUGUGGAGGAGCCCUGGUAGUCUGAGAGAACUUUGACCAGAGGAUCUGGGGGAAGUACCAAUGUGCUGAUAUUUAUAGGAUGAAAAUGACAUGUCUUGUGAAAUUAUUUGAUACUACAGUAUCAGCCCUGGACAGAAUAGUGGAAGGGUUGGGCACACAAUGUCAGAGGGAAUGAUGACUGCCAUUAACUCUACAGCCAACAUUCAUUUCCAAGAAAUGUAACUUCUGCCUGUUUGGAAUACCAUCAGUGGAGGUUUGUCAGAUUCGGGAUAAAAGGAGAAUGAUCAGCUGCUUAAGAUCAUACGUUGCCUUCAUUGAGGAACCACAGAACAGAGUGGGACAACCACUGGUAUCAAUGGAGGCUGGGGAUGGAGAGUUUGAGAGCAGUCCUGCCAAGACUGAGGGUAUCAGUGGAUGAAACCUUGGACAUGAGCCAGUCACGUGUGCUGGAAGCCCAGAAAAUUGAUCAGGUGUGGGUCCAGGUCCAGGGAAGUGAUUCUCCCCUUCUCUGCCCAAGUGAGACCCCACCUGUAGACCUGCCUCCAGGCUCUGGGGACCAACAGCAGAAGGAUGUGGAGUUACUGGGAGUCCAGAGGAGGCCACAGACGGUCUGAAGGCUGCACCUCCUCUACUGUGGAGACAGGCUGGGAGAGCUGGGGGUAUUCAGCCAGGAAAGGAGGAGGUUCCAAGGACACCCUGUUACAGCUUUUCAGUACUUGAAAGGGGCUGGUAAUAAAAACAAAGACACUUUUUACCAAGGCCUGUAGUGACAGGACAUGGAAUAAUGGUUUUAAAGAGUGUAGAUUUUGAUGGGAUGUAGCAGAGACAUGUUCACAUAAUUAAGGUUGGGUGGGUUUUGUUUGCAAUCCAUGAUAAUGUAACACUGAAUAUUCUUAUCCUUGGAAAACUCUAAUCCUUGAGUUUUCUUGAGUCAUUUUUAGUUAUGUCUUGCAAUUAUGAGAUCUACAGUUUAAACACA